AGUGAACGCUGGCGGUAGGCCUAACACAUGCAAGUCGAACGGCAGCACAGUAAGAGCUUGCUCUUACGGGUGGCGAGUGGCGGACAGGUGAGGAAUACAUCGGAAUCUACUUUUUCGUGGGGGAUAACGUAGGGAAACUUACGCUAAUACCGCAUACGACCUACGGGUGAAAGCAGGGGAUCUUCGGACCUUGCGCGAUUGAAUGAGCCGAUGUCGGAUUAGCUAGUUGGCGGGGUAAAGGCCCACCAAGGCGACGAUCCGUAGCUGGUCUGAGAGGAUGAUCAGCCACACUGGAACUGAGACACGGUCCAGACUCCUACGGGAGGCAGCAGUGGGGAAUAUUGGACAAUGGGCGCAAGCCUGAUCCAGCCAUACCGCGUGGGUGAAGAAGGCCUUCGGGUUGUAAAGCCCUUUUGUUGGGAAAGAAAAGCAGCAGGUUAAUACCCCGCUGUUCUGACGGUACCCAAAGAAUAAGCACCGGCCAACUUCGUG
rnacentral:rRNA from 1 species